rnacentral:rRNA from 1 species
AACGCGUAGGUAAUCUACCCAGGUAUUUGGGACAACAUCGGGAAACUGAUGCUAAUACCGAAUACGUUUUCCAUGUAGCGAUACAAGGAAAAGAAAGGUGGCCUCUCCAUGGAAGCUACCGUACCUGGAUGAGCCUGCGUACCAUUAGCUAGUUGGUAGGGUAAAGGCCUACCAAGGCUACGAUGGUUAGCGGGUCUGAGAGGAUGAUCCGCCACACUGGCACUGGAACACGGGCCAG